GACGAACGCUGGCGGCAUGCCUAAUACAUGCAAGUCGAACGCACGAAGUUGAAAAGCUUGCUUUUCGACCAAGUGAGUGGCGGACGGGUGAGUAACACGUGGGUAACCUGCCCAUAAGAGGGGGAUAACAUUCGGAAACGGAUGCUAAUACCGCAUACUUCAAGUGACCGCAUGGUCGCUUGAUGAAAGGUGGCUUCGGCUACCACUUAUGGAUGGACCCGCGGUGCAUUAGUUAGUUGGUGAGGUAAUGGCUCACCAAGACCAUGAUGCAUAGCCGACCUGAGAGGGUGAUCGGCCACACUGGGACUGAGACACGGCCCAGACUCCUACGGGAGGCAGCAGUAGGGAAUCUUCCGCAAUGGACGAAAGUCUGACGGAGCAAUGCCGCGUGAGUGAAGAAGGUUUUCGGAUCGUAAAACUCUGUUGUUAGAGAAGAACAAGGAUGAGAGUAACUGCUCAUCCCCUGACGGUAUCUAACCAGAAAGCCACGGCUAACUACGUGCCAGCCGCCGCCGUAA
rnacentral:rRNA from 1 species